GCGGACGUGGCGGAAUUGGUAGACGCCCUAGACUUAGGAUCUAGUGAGUUCGCUCGUGAGAGUUCGAGUCUCUCCGUCCGCA
rnacentral:tRNA from 1 species